GUCUACGGCGGCUGCAACGGCAA
rnacentral:miRNA from 1 species